ensembl:lncRNA
GUGAGGAGAAAAAGGGAUGAGUGCAAAGACGAUAUCAAAGUGUUUGUAGAGUAAAGUGAAGAGUAGGAAUUUAGAGAUAAAGGAUGACAAGUUGAGAAGGAAAAAAAAGAGUGCAAAAAAAAAAAAAUCUUAUAGAGAGUUGUGACUUGCAGUAAUGCAGUGACCUCAGGCUGCAACAGACCUCAAAACCCUCACUUCAACACACACACAGCGCUCGAGGAGGCCGUGUGUGUUGACUGCUGAUAUUACAGCCCUGUUGGAGGCAAAAAAGAAGAAAGGGUCAGCCGGAGAUGAACGAUGACACGGACCUGUGCACUCUCUCUCUAUGGGUCACCGGUGAAUUUAACAACAGCAAUCAGAGGCUCAUCAGAGAGUUUGUGAUGAGUUCAACCACAGGACUUUGAUGUGCUGCAGGUGGACGGGAGGUCAAAGAUCAGUCAGAUUAUAAAAGAAGGGCUUGAUCAUGCAGUACAAACAGUAUGAACAAGACCCAGAUGAAUGAAGAUGAAGAGGAACAUUAGCAAAUAAGGAGGACAUAUUCAACUGCCAGAAGCCACAGACAAUGUGCAUUUUGAAUAAAAUAUGAGGAAUUAUUUUAGGAUAAUAUCUGCACGUUUAUUUGAUGAUAAUGUGACUUGACUUAUAUUCCUUUUAGACCAAAAAUCCUGAAUAUAUUUUGUUGAAGACAAGACAGCAAGAGUGAGGAACAACACACGUUUUCAUUCGUUUUCUCCAUUAGUUCUGCAUUUCCAGGUUUCCGUGGUGAUGGAGACUCCCGGAUCUCCAUUCAGUAUGACAUCUGAGAGCAAUCUUUACAGCACCACAGCUCUGCCAAACUCUGAUGCUUAUGAUCAAAGCAUGAACGAAACAGAUGACUACAUACUGUACGUGACUGAGACACUGUCUAUAUUUCAAUCAUCUCUUGCCUGGAAAUUCCCAUGAACUGUUUGUCUAUGUAUGCUGUUUAUUCUCUUACCAAAUCUAAACAAGCUGCUCCAGUUUUUGUCAUGAAUCUACUAAUUUCAGACCUCAUCCAGACUGUUUGCAUGCUACCAUUAAUCAUUAACUUUAACUUCUACUGGACGAUCGCAUUAAUGAUCACAUGGACGUGGGCUGGUUUCACAGGUUUGUAUUUCAUGACAUGUAUAGCCAUAGAGUGAUACGUUCUGAUCGCUCAUCCCAUUUUGCACAGGUCUCAUCGCUCAGUCAAAUGUUUUGUUUGUACUUCACUGACCGGUUGGCUUCUGCCUUUUAUUGUUAUUCCAGUUUACGUUUUGAUAAAUGCCCUGGCAUAUAUAAUACCCUUCCUCCCCUAUGCAGUGAUCAUUUUGUGUUUUGUAGGUUCAUGCAGGUCUCUCUCUCACUCAGUCUCUCUCACUCCUCUGAAGAAGCAGUUAGUUCUGGCUCCUUUGUUCUUUGUGGUGAUCAGUUACACCUUUCUAAUCCUGCCCUUGCAAAUUUGUCUUUUUGUGAAUGCAAAAAUCGACAAUUACUCUUGUUCUUUAUCUGUUAAACCCACUUGUGGACUGUUUUCUGUAUGUGUUCAUGUGGAGCAACGCUGAGAACAUCAUCAGGUCGCCUCACUUCUGCUCCAGACUGAAGAGAGUCCAGACUGAAAUGGGACAGACCACAUAACUGAUGUACAGAGUGAUUCACAGCAGACUGCUGAUGUCAGCAAUCAAUUUACAAAUGUACAGUAAUAGCUCUCAAAUAACUCAUUACAGCAUGUUCAACUGGAUGAAAUGUGCAUGACUUAAGUGUUCAUCUUGUGAUGGGAUUCAAUAAAUGAAAUGGUUCAUGUCCUCUUGUUAUUGUGCUUUAGGUUUGUACAUCACUUAUUGAUAAACUACAUUUUGUAAUGGAAUUAUGUGUCAGUAUG